CCUACGGGAGGCAGCAGUGGGGAAUAUUGCACAAUGGGGGAAACCCUGAUGCAGCGACGCCGCGUGAGUGAAGAAGUCUUUCGGUAUGUAAAGCUCUAUCAGCAGGGAAGAAAAUGACGGUACCUGAUCAAGAAGCCCCGGCUAACUACGUGCCAGCAGCCGCGGUAAUACGUAGGGGGCAAGCGUUAUCCGGAUUUACUGGGUGUAAAGGGAGCGUAGACGGCAGCGCAAGUCUGGAGUGAAAUGCGGGGGCUUAACCCCGGAACUGCUUUGGAAACUGUGCAACUAGAGUGCAGGAGAGGUAAGUGGAAUUCCUAGUGUAGCGGUGAAAUGCGUAGAUAUUAGGAGGAACACCAGUGGCGAAGGCGGCUUACUGGACUGUAACUGACGUUGAGGCUCGAAAGCGUGGGGAGCAAACAGGAUUAGAUACCCCGGUAGUC
rnacentral:rRNA from 1 species